rnacentral:rRNA from 1 species
GUGGGGAAUAUUGGACAAUGGGCGAAAGCCUGAUCCAGCCAUGCCGCGUGAGUGAUGAAGGCCUUAGGGUUGUAAAGCUCUUUCAGUAGGGAAGAUAAUGACGGUACCUACAGAAGAAGCCCCGGCUAACUUCGUGCCAGCAGCCGCGGUAAUACGAAGGGGGCUAGCGUUGUUCGGAUUUACUGGGCGUAAAGCGCACGUAGGCGGAUUGGUCAGUUAGAGGUGAAAUCCUGGAGCUCAGCUCCAGAACUGCCUUUAAUACUGCCAGUCUAGAGUCCAGAAGAGGUGAGUGGAACUCCUAGUGUAGAGGUGGAAUUCGUAGAUAUUAGGAAGAACACCAGUGGCGAAGGCGGCUCACUGGUCUGGUACUGACGCUGAGGUGCGAAAGCGUGGGGAGCAAACAGGAUUAGAAACCCGAGUAGUCC